rnacentral:tRNA from 1 species
ACAGUGGUGAUUCUGUGGUAGAAUUCUCACCUUCCACAUAGGAGACUCAGGUACAAUUCCUGGCCAAUGCA